rnacentral:lncRNA from 1 species
GACGACGAACUCACGGCGACUUCUUCUCUUCACAGCGACUAAAGGCGAGUUUGAAGACCAAAAUAGAGAGAGCGUCGGCGGCGAGUACUGUGUAAAAGGCGAGUAUUAUCUUCGUCGUCGGCGGCGAGGAAGUUCUCUGUCGCGAGAGAGAAAUUUUUUUUUUUUUUUUUCAAUUGUAAACAGUGACGAGAAAGAAACUGUUCAGUUUCUCUUUUGAUAAUUAAUGAAAGAAUAACUGUCGAUGAUGAUGUGGCAAUUUCGGGUAUGACAUGGCAUUUUCAGAUCUAAUGUGGCAAUUUUAAGAGAAAACCGACAAAGGGUGUUAAUUGUAAUUACA